CUCUCCCUUUCUUUCAUUUAAUGGGACUUCUCAAGCUAUUCCUGCUUUAUUAAAGCAUCAGCUUUGGUAUCCAAAGAAGCAGAGCUGUAUAUGGCAAUGAAGAGGAUUACACUCACAUGCAGGGUUUUUAAAUUUAAUAACUUGGUGUUGGUAAGCUGCUUUUAUAAUUGGUUAUCUCUUUUUCUUUUCCUUAGGAGCCUUGCAUAUUUUGGGAUUUCCUGAUCAUCUCAACUGCAGUUUGGCAUUUUUUCACCAGUGUUAUCCAGUCCUCAGGUGAAGCUGCUCUGUGUUGAAGAUGCUACAGACACCCAGGAUUGCAAGUAGUCAGUGGGGGGUUACAGCCCAGAGAUGGAGUGAGGGCUGGGGUGCCAGCUUAGGAAUUGCUAGGGGUUUUUUGAAGGUAGUAUGGGUGGAAAGCAGUGUCCAGGAGCCCCCUAAAUGCCUGUGAAGGCACCCACUGACUUUUCAGAUGUGCCACUUAAGUUUUCCUCUCAUUCACCCAGAUAUUCUGUGCGAUUACAGCUGCAGUCUUUGGCUGCAGGCAGUGACCCUGGGUGGUUUGCCUAAAGAGAAGGGAGACUCUUUGAGCUCUCCCCAUCUAUCUGGGUGACUUUGGUUAGGGUUUCUUUACCAUGUCAGAGGGGCAGGGUGUAAAGCAGAGUUGAACAGAACAGAGGCCAGAGGAGCAGAGCAAGAAGGUGGGUCAUCACCUGACAUCAGCACAAAGAUGUGGCUUUUAGCUCCACGUUUACUUGUGUGUUAAGGAUUUUGUUGUUUGGGUUUGUUUUUUCUUUGUUUUCAGCUGCAGAGCCCUGGGCCCAGGAGGCUCUAGGCACCGGAGGGGAGGUGAUCCAGGUGAGUACCUGUGAGCAAGGGGUUCUGCCACCUUCUAACAGACAGUCCAGUGCUUCAGGGCCCGUGCUGGUAAGAGGUCACUGUGGAGGAGAGGUAGGUAGGAGCUACCCCAGGAAAGCCAUCCUUUCAGGCAGUACCUCAGUCUGUACAUUUGCCUUUGGCUUUUUUACUUUGCAGAGAAUGUGUGCAGCCUGAGAGGGCCAGAGCCACCUGCCAGUUAGGUUUGAUGGUCUUCAUCUGUCCUUGUGAGUAAUCUCCUAGUACUACGAGGGUCAUCAAUUCAGGCUGGACCUUUUCCAGCUGCAGGUGCCAUCCAGCCUGCCUUUGGCAAAGGAGGAGCAUUGAGGUUGAGUUGGGGAGGUAGGGAGUAGGUGCUGGGGUCUCCCUUACUUUCAGAAACACCCCAUAACUUUUUUUCUCACUCCCCCAGGUACGGCACACGGUGACGGCAGCAGCCUCCGACUGGGGUCAGAGCCAGUGGCCCGAGAACCUCUCAGCUCAGGGGAGGCAACCGAGUCAGGGAUCACAGGACCCUCUGAGCCAGCCGGGCGUCCUUCCUUCACAUUGAAGAUGGAUUCACAUCCCCAGCUGUGGGAAAGAUAAGUGGAGGACUCCCACCUGGAGAGGGGAUGAGAGCUGGGUCCAGUUUUAUGUUUAGGAGGGAGGGAUUUUCAGAUGAGCACAGGAGAAAGGGUCUGCCCUAACAGGCCCUUGACACACAUAGGAGGAGCAGUUUACUUUUCAUCAUGGAGUAGGAUGUGCAGGGCAGAGCUGUUCAGGUCUGUGUCGUGUCCUUUGUCCAGUCUGUGUUUCGUGUCUUACUAUUCACAGUCACCACAUCUUUGCUUUCUGUCCUCAAAGUUCUUAUCUGAGGCAUCAUUCCUAGGGUCUUGAACCUCUGCACUGCCCAGCCCAGUGCCCAUACCAUCCGUUCUUUGGCUCACUAGCUUGGAUGUGCGUCAGAAUCGCAUCUGAGAAGUGUCAGGUCAGGUGUCUUUUACAGCCUCCUUACAGGUUGUAUCAGUGGCUGUGCCGUGCAGUCAUCUCUUGUAACCGCCUGGGAUUUCUGAGAGUUUAAGAAGAUUCUGAACAUAGCCUUGUCUCCCAUCCAUCUUAGCAAUUUUGUAGGCAGUUCUUGCCCCAGGCCAUUCUGUUAGAGUGUCUUUUCAGGCUCCUCAGAGCCUCCUCCGUUCAGUCUCGCCGUAUCCUCCGUCUUCUCGUGCGGCAGCACAUCCAUUUUGGCAUCGUUCCUUUCUCAGAGUUCUCUCUCCUGGUUGCACCACAGCACUUGUCUGGAAAUGUGUCCUUGGAGUUUGUGUUGGGCCUGGAACUGCUCUGCCCUGCAGUGUAGAGUUGGGGGUAGGUGGAGUAGAAAGGAGACUUCCCAGUUACCCUGUGAUAGGCUCAGGCACUGAGGGCAGGGCCUUAAAGUGAGGUCAGUGUUUGUUUGUGCAGGUUGUCUUUGGACCCCAGAGGGCUUGUCUAAGGAGAAA